UACGAGGGGGGCAAGCGUUGUUCGGGAUUAUUGGGCGUAAAGGGCGCGUAGGCGGUGCGGUAAGUCUGUUGUGAAAUCUCCGGGCUCAACUCGGAGUCUGCAUCAGAAACUGCCGUGCUUGAGUGUGGGAGAGGUGAGUGGAAUUCCCGGUGUAGCGGUGAAAUGCGCAGAUAUCAGGAAGAACACCCGUGGCGAAAGCGGCUCUCUGGGACGGUACUGACGCUGAGACGCGAAAGCGUGGGGAGCGAACAGG
rnacentral:rRNA from 1 species